GGGACAUUAUUUGUAGCAAUACACGUAAUGUCCAGUGGCGUAAGGGUGCGUAACACGUGGGUAAUCUGCCGAGAAGUGGGGGAUAGCUCGCCGAAAGGCGAAUUAAUACCGCAUGCGGUUAGUGAGGACAUCCUCGCGAUACCAAAGCCGGGGCAACCUGGCGCUUCUUGAUGAACCCGCGGCCUAUCAGUUAGUUGGUGAGGUAACGGCUCACCAAGGCUAUGACGGGUAGCUGGUCUGAGAGGACGACCAGCCACACUGGAACUGAGACACGGUCCAGACACCUACGGGUGGCAGCAGUCGAGAAUUUUUCUCAAUGGGGGAAACCCUGAAGGAGCGACGCCGCGUGGAGGAUGAAGGUCUUCGGAUUGUAAACUCCUGUCAUUUGGGAACAAUUGUUGGCGAUUAACUGUCGUCAGCUUGAUAGUACCAGAAGAGGAAGAGACGGCUAACUCUGUGCCAGCAGCCGCGGUAAUACAGAGGUCUCAAGCGUUGUUCGGAUUCAUUGGGCGUAAAGGGUGCGUAGGUGGCGGGGUAAGUCAGGUGUGAAAUCUCGGGGCUCAACCCCGAAACUGCACUUGAUACUGCCUUGCUCGAGUACUGGAGAGGAGAUUGGAAUUUACGGUGUAGCAGUGAAAUGCGUAGAUAUCGUAAGGAAGACCAGUGGCGAAGGCGAAUCUCUGGACAGUUACUGACACUGAGGCACGAAGGCCAGGGGAGCAAACGGGAUUAGAUACCCCGGUAGUCCUGGCAGUAAACGGUGCGCGUUUGGUGUGGGAGGAUUCGACCCCUUCUGUGCCG
rnacentral:rRNA from 1 species